rnacentral:rRNA from 1 species
GAUGAACGCUGGCGGCGUGCCUAAUACAUGCAAGUCGAGCGAACGGACGAGAAGCUUGCUUCUCUGAUGUUAGCGGCGGACGGGUGAGUAACACGUGGAUAACCUACCUAUAAGACUGGGAUAACUUCGGGAAACCGGAGCUAAUACCGGAUGAUAUUUUGAACCGCAUGGUUCAAAAGUGAAAGACGGUCUUGCUGUCACUUAUAGAUGGAUCCGCGCUGCAUUAGCUAGUUGGUAAGGUAACGGCCUACCAAGGCAACGAUGCAUAGCCGACCUGAGAGGGUGAUCGGCCACACUGGAACUGGGACACGGUCCAGACUCCUACGGGAGGCAGCAGUAGGGAAUCUUCCGCAAAGGGCGAAAGCCUGACGGAGCAACGGCGCGUGAGUGAUGAAGGUCUUCGGAUCGUAAAACUCUGUUAUUAGGGAAGAACAUAUGUGUAAGUAACUGUGCACAUCUUGACGGUACCUAAUCAGAAAGCCACGGCUAACUACGUG